CUGGCUUCGCGGCCGGCUGAAAUAUUUUUUUCACCCAUGUCUUUUGCGCACUUGUUGUUUCCUGGGCGGGUUCGCCCGCCACCAGGACCAAACCAUAAACCUUUUUUUUAUGCAGUUGCAAUCAGCGUCAGUAAAAACAAUGUAAUUAUUACAACUUUCAACAACGGAUCUCUUGGUUCUGGCAUCGAUGAAGAACGCAGCGAAAUGCGAUACGUAGUGUGAAUUGCAGAAUUCAGUGAAUCAUCGAAUCUUUGAACGCACAUUGCGCCCUUUGGUAUUCCAAAGGGCAUGCCUGUUCGAGCGUCAUUUGUACCUUCAAGCUUUGCUUGGUGUUGGGCGUUUUUUGUCUCCCUCUUUCUGGGAGACUCGCCUUAAAACGAUUGGCAGCCGGCCUACUGGUUUCGGAGCGCAGCACAUAUUUUGCGCUUUGUAUCAGGAGAAAAGGACGGUAAUCCAUCAAGACUCUACAUUUUUAACUUUUGACCUCGGAUCAGGUAGGGAUACCCGCUGAACUUAAGCAUAUCAAUAAGCGGAGG
rnacentral:rRNA from 1 species